GUCCAAACUUGCUCCCCAAAGGGAGAUUUUAUGGGAUUACGUACCUUGAAGAUGGUUGGUUGUCUGGUCAAUAAGAAAAUGAAUGUCCUUCAAUUGACAUCUCUCAUCGUCUUUUGCCUCCUGGAUGGAGUUCCACAUGUGUCAGCACAGACAAGCAGUCCACUUAACUCUUCAGAGAUUUGCUCAACCUACACAAACCUCUCUCAGCCAUGGCGGAACCGCAACUUUUUCUCUCUC